UCUUAGCCCCGAUUGCAGCGACAUCCUUUUUUGCGGUGGCUUGAAAAAAGCAGUGGCAAAAAAGAUAUAGUGGAAAGCGGGAUUUAGC
rnacentral:sRNA from 1 species